GACGAACGCUGGCGGCGUGCCUAAUACAUGCCAGUCGAACGCACAGUUUAUACCGUAGCUUGCUACACCAUAGACUGUGAGUUGCGAACGGGUGAGUAACGCGUAGGUAACCUGCCUGGUAGCGGGGGAUAACUAUUGGAAACGAUAGCUAAUACCGCAUAAUAUUGAUUAUUGCAUGAUAAUUGAUUGAAAGAUGCUAUUGCAUCACUACCAGAUGGACCUGCGUUGUAUUAGCUAGUAGGUGAGGUAACGGCUCACCUAGGCGACGAUACAUAGCCGACCUGAGAGGGUGAUCGGCCACACUGGGACUGAGACACGGCCCAGACUCCUACGGGAGGCAGCAGUAGGGAAUCUUCGGCAAUGGACGAAAGUCUGACCGAGCAACGCCGCGGGAGUGAAGAAGGGUUUCGGAUCGUAAAGCUCUGUUGUAAGAGAAGAACGGGUGUGAGAGUGGAAAGUUCACACUGUGACGGUAUCUUACCAGAAAGGGACGGCUAACUACGUG
rnacentral:rRNA from 1 species